GAUGAACGCNGGCGGCGUGCUUAACACAUGCAAGUCGAACGAGAAGUGGAGACGGAAACCUUCGGGCGGAAGACUUUAUUUCGAGUGGCGGACGGGUGAGUAACGCGUGGGUAACCUGCCUCAUACAGGGGGAUAACAGUUGGAAACGACUGUUAAUACCGCAUAAGACCACAGCACCGCAUGGUGCGGGGGUAAAAACUCCGGUGGUAUGAGAUGGACCCGCGUUCGAUUAGCCAGUUGGCGGGGUAACGGCCCACCAAAGCGACGAUCGAUAGCCGAUCUGAGAGGAUGACCGGCCACAUUGGGACUGAGACACGGCCCAAGCUCCUACGGGAGGCAGCAGUGGGGAAUAUUGCACAAUGGGGGAAACCCUGAUGCAGCGACGCCGCGUGAGUGAAGAAGUAUUUCGGUAUGUAAAGCUCUAUCAGCAGGGAAGAAAANGA
rnacentral:rRNA from 1 species